rnacentral:lncRNA from 1 species
CUCCGCAGCCCCGCGCGGGGGCUGGGGUUUCUCAGGGUUGGGGACCAGCGAGCUGGGGGCUGCUGGGGGGAAAAGGGUGGGGCUCGGCAGAGGAGGAAGCGGCCUUCAGACCCAAGACCCAGGCAGCGGGUGAGGGGGGUGGGAAGAGGGGCUGGGAAGUGGAAGCGGGAACUUGCCGGUGGCCACGCUCUCUCUCCCGGCCCUCGCCCGCCCCUCCCCCAUUUCCUCUCCGGGAGGAGGGGCCACGGCGGCAUGGGGGCGGGGUAACGAGUCAGCCCCGCCCCCUGCUUCCCCUCCCCUCCACCCGCAGGAUUCGAGCACGCAGCUGUCUCGGACCGGGACCCUGUCUCGAAAGAGCAUCAAGGCGCCUGCCGCACCCGCCUCCGCCACCCUCGGGAGAGCGCCCCGGAUCCCCGAGCCGGUGCAGCCCCCCGUGGUGCCCAACGGCAAGCUCUCCGCCGCCUCCUCUGCCUCCUCCCUGGCCUCGGCCGGCAGCGCUGAAGGGGUCGGUGGUGUCUCCGCGGUCAAGGGGCAAGCAGCACCUCCGCCCCCUCCACCUGCUGCCUCCGACGUCUUCCUGCUGCCCCCUCCACUGGAGGAACUGUCCCUGCCCCCGCCGGGUAAGGAGCUCCGCCCUCCCCUCCUAGCUCAACUUUGGGGUCGUUGCCUCACCCCAACACUUCUCCCCACCCCUUGGAUCCAAUUGGGCCUCUCCGUGGAUGCUUUGCAACAGGCGUAAGGGGAAGGGGAAGUGAACGUAGUUGAGCGCACCUGCUUUAUACCAGGCCCCCGGGGGCGAAGCGUCUCACCCACCUUCCCACUUAAACUUAACCCUAAGAGAAUCUCCACACU